rnacentral:rRNA from 1 species
AGGACGAACGCUGGCGGCGUGCUUAACACAUGCAAGUCGAACGGUAAGGCCCCUUCCGGGGUACGACGAGUGGCGAACGGGUGAGUAACACGUGAGCAACCUGCCCUUGACUCUGGAAUAACAGCUGGAAACAGCUGCUAAUACCGGAUAUGACCGCAUGCGACAUCGCAUACGGUAGAAAGCCCUGGCGGUCAAGGAUGGGCUCGCGGCCUAUCAGCUAGUUGGUGAGGUAACGGCUCACCAAGGCUUCGACGGGUA